UACAGAGGGUGCGAGCGUUAAUCGGAAUUACUGGGCGUAAAGCGUGCGUAGACGGUUAUGUAAGUCGGGUGUGAAAGCCCCGGGCUCAACCUGGGAAUUGCAUUCGAGACUGCAUAGCUAGGGUGCGGAAGAGGGAAGCGGAAUUUCCGGUGUAGCGGUGAAAUGCGUAGAUAUCGGAAGGAACAUCAGUGGCGAAAACGGCUUCCUGGUCCAGCACCGACGUUCAGGCACGAAAGCGUGGGGAGCAAACAGG
rnacentral:rRNA from 1 species